rnacentral:rRNA from 1 species
GAUGAACGCUGGCGGCGUGCCUAAUACAUGCAAGUCGAGCGAAUGGAUUAAGAGCUUGCUCUUAUGAAGUUAGCGGCGGACGGGUGAGUAACACGUGGGUAACCUGCCCAUAAGACUGGGAUAACUCCGGGAAACCGGGGCUAAUACCGGAUAACAUUUUGAACCGCAUGGUUCGAAAUUGAAAGGCGGCUUCGGCUGUCACUUAUGGAUGGACCCGCGUCGCAUUAGCUAGUUGGUGAGGUAACGGCUCACCAAGGCAACGAUGCGUAGCCGACCUGAGAGGGUGAUCGGCCACACGGGCACUGCGACACGGCCCAGACUCCUACGGGAGGCAGCAGUAGGGAAUCUUCCGCAAUGGACGAAAGUCUGACGGAGCAACGCCGCGUGAGUGAUGAAGGCUUUCGGGUCGUAAAACUCUGUUGUUAGGGAAGAACAAGUGCUAGUUGAAUAAGCUGGCACCUUGACGGUACCUAACCAGAAAGCCACGGCUAACUACGUGCCAGCCGCCGCGGUAA